CACGUAGUUGGCCGGUGCUUCUUCUGCGGGUACCGUCACUUGCGCUUCGUCCCCACUGAAAGAGGUUUACAACCCGAAGGCAGUCAUCCCUCACGCGGCGUUGCUGGAUCAGGCUUCCGCCCAUUGUCCAAUAUUCCCCACUGCUGCCUCCCGUAGGAGCCUGGGCCGUGUCUCAGUCCCAGUGUGGCCGGUCACCCUCUCAGGCCGGCUACCCGUCGAAGCCUUGGUGAGCCAUUACCUCACCAACAAGCUGAUAGGCCGCGAGCACAUCCCCCACCGAAAAAACUUUCCACCACCAUCCCAUGCAGGAAGCGGUCGUAUCCGGUAUUAGACCUCGUUUCCGAGGCUUAUCCCAAAGUGGAGGGCAGAUUACUCACGUGUUACUCACCCGUUCGCCGCUCGUGUACCCCCGAAAGGGCCUUACCGCUCGACUUGCAUGUGUUAAGCACGCCGCCAGCGUUCGUCCUGAGCCAGGAUCAAACUCU
rnacentral:rRNA from 1 species